AACGGCCAUACUAUGCUGAAUAUAUCGGUUCUCGUUAGAUCACCGAAGUCAAGCAUCGUUAGACGCGGUCAGUACUUGGGUGGGUGACUACCUGGAAACAUCGUGUGCCGUU
rnacentral:rRNA from 1 species